AUGAAACUGCUAGGUCUUCUUAUGACACUGUUUGCUCUUAGCUAUGCAAACUUGGACAAACAAGUUGUGUGUACAACCUUACGUGAACUUCUGAACAGGCUUGAAAAUCUUGAGAAGCAUGAGUUCAAGGCUUUCAGCAAAUCAGUACAAAUCCAAACACCGAAUGCAGAAAUACAGAAUGCACGUGAGUGUGACGCCUUACUUGCAAAACACCUGAAGCAUUUUAUAAAGUCAGUUAAAAGUGCAGUACCCAGAAACCAGUAUGCCAACAUUUUAGACAACGUGAAUAAGAUACUGCAGGAAACUGAAGUCAAGAAUGGGUCAAUCGUCACCUGCACCUUCACAACGCAUAACCUCACAAAAGUUACACCAGACGAUAUCAAGCCUUUGAUUCAGGAUAACAUUAAGUUCAUCCAAAAAAGGAAUGUGAUCUGCAAAUAGAAGAAUCUUGCAAGUCACAAAAGUAAACUAAACGGAUAUACUGCUAUGGAGAUGUGGAUUACAUAUUUAUUCAUUUGAAAUGUCUAUUUUUUUUUAACUUAAUAUUUAUAUAUCUAUUUAUUUGUUGGCCUAUUUAUUUAUUUAUUUAUUUUGACCAGUGUGUGUUGGUUGUUCUCUAUCCUCGAACUUGUUUGUAAAAUGAAAUGUAUCUAAUUCAAAAAAGUGAAUGUUAUUAUCUUCAUCACAGGAAGAAAAAUGAUCAACACUAUACUUUAUUUUUUAAAGUUUGUUCUUGUAUUGUAGCAAUACAAUCAUCUUUUAAGAUCCACAGAUUUUAUGAUGAACUGAAUUCUGAAUAAAAAGAAUAUAUUUAAGAUCA
ensembl:lncRNA